UACGAAGGGGGCUAGCGUUGUUCGGAAUCACUGGGCGUAAAGCGCACGUAGGCGGAUCUUUAAGUCAGAGGUGAAAUCCCAAGGCUCAACCUUGGAACUGCCUUUGAUACUGGGGAUCUUGAGUCCGGGAGAGGUGAGUGGAACUGCGAGUGUAGAGGUGAAAUUCGUAGAUAUUCGCAAGAACACCAGUGGCGAAGGCGGCUCACUGGCCCGGUACUGACGCUGAGGUGCGAAAGCGUGGGAGCAACAGG
rnacentral:rRNA from 1 species